UACGUAGGGUGCAAGCGUUAAUCGGAAUUACUGGGCGUAAAGCGUGCGCAGGCGGUGAUGUAAGACCGAUGUGAAAUCCCCCGGGCUUAACCUGGGAACUGCAUUGGUGACUGCAUUGCUAGAGUAUGGCAGAGGGGGGGUGGAAUUCCACGUGUAGCAGUGAAAUGCGUAGAGAUGUGGAGGAACACCGAUGGCGAAGGCAGCCCCCCUGGGCUAAUACGUGACGCUCAUGCACGAAAGCGUGGGGGAGCAAACAGG
rnacentral:rRNA from 1 species